AGAGCGAACGCUGGCGGCAGGCUUAACACAUGCAAGUCGAACGGGCGUAGCAAUACGUCAGUGGCAGACGGGUGAGUAACGCGUGGGAACGUACCUUUUGGUUCGGAACAACACAGGGAAACUUGUGCUAAUACCGGAUAAGCCCUUACGGGGAAAGAUUUAUCGCCGAAAGAUCGGCCCGCGUCUGAUUAGCUUGUUGGUGAGGUAACGGCUCACCAAGGCGACGAUCAGUAGCUGGUCUGAGAGGAUGAUCAGCCACAUUGGGACUGAGACACGGCCCAAACUCCUACGGGAGGCAGCAGUGGGGAAUAUUGGACAAUGGGCGAAAGCCUGAUCCAGCCAUGCCGCGUGAGUGAUGAAGGCCCUAGGGUUGUAAAGCUCUUUGUGCGGGAAGAUAAUGACGGUACCGCAAGAAUAAGCCCGGCUAACUCGCGCCAGCAGCCGC
rnacentral:rRNA from 1 species